AUUGAACGCUGGCGGCAGGCCUAACACAUGCAAGUCGAGCGGUAGAGAGAAGCUUGCUUCUCUUGAGAGCGGCGGACGGGUGAGUAAUGCCUAGGAAUUUGCCUGGUAGUGGGGGGUAACGUUCGGAAACGGACGCUAAUACCGCAUACGUCCUACGGGAGAAAGCAGGGGACCUUCGGGCCUUGCGCUAUCAGAUGAGCCUAGGUCGGAUUAGCUAGUUGGUGGGGUAAUGGCUCACCAAGGCGACGAUCCGUAACUGGUCUGAGAGGAUGAUCAGUCACACUGGAACUGAGACACGGUCCAGACUCCUACGGGAGGCAGCAGUGGGGAAUAUUGGACAAUGGGCGAAAGCCUGAUCCAGCCAUGCCGCGUGUGUGAAGAAGGUCUUCGGAUUGUAAAGCACUUUAAGUUGGGAGGAAGGGCAGUAAAUUAAUACUUUGCUGUUUUGACGUUACCGACAGAAUAAGCACCGGCUAACUCUGUGCCAGCCGCCGCGGUAA
rnacentral:rRNA from 1 species